ACAUGCAGUCGAGCGAAUGAUGAGGAGCUUGCUCCUCUGAUUUAGCGGCGGACGGGUGAGUAACACGUGGGUAAUCUGCCUGUAAGACGGGGAUAACUCCGGGAAACCGGGGCUAAUACCGGAUAAUAAGAGAAGAAGCAUUUCUUCUUUUUGAAAGUCGGUUUCGGCUGACACUUACAGAUGAGCCCGCGGCGCAUUAGCUAGUUGGUGAGGUAACGGCUCACCAAGGCGACGAUGCGUAGCCGACCUGAGAGGGUGAUCGGCCACACUGGGACUGAGACACGGCCCAGACUCCUACGGGAGGCAGCAGUAGGGAAUCUUCGGCAAUGGGCGAAAGCCUGACCGAGCAACGCCGCGUGAGCGAUGAAGGCCUUCGGGUCGUAAAGCUCUGUUGUUAGAGAAGAACAAGUACGAGAGUAACUGCUCGUACCUUGACGGUACCUAACCAGAAAGCCACGGCUAACUACGUGCCAGCAGCCGCGGUAAUACGUAGGUGGCAAGCGUUAUCCGGAAUUAUUGGGCGUAAAGCGCGCGCAGGCGGUCUCUUAAGUCUGAUGUGAAAGCCCACGGCUCAACCGUGGAGGGUCAUUGGAAACUGGGAGACUUGAGUGCAGGAGAGAAAAGUGGAAUUCCACGUGUAGCGGUGAAAUGCGUAGAGAUGUGGAGGAACACCAGUGGCGAAGGCGGCUUUUUGGCCUGUAACUGACGCUGAGGCGCGAAAGCGUGGGGAGCAAACAGGAUUAGAUACCCUGGUAGUCCACGCCGUAAACGAUGAGUGCUAGGUGUUGGGGGGUUCCACCCUCAGUGCUGAAGUUAACACAUUAAGCACUCCGCCUGGGGAGUACGACCGCAAGGUUGAAACUCAAAGGAAUUGACGGGGCCCGCACAAGCAGUGGAGCAUGUGGUUUAAUUCGAGCAACGCGAAGAACCUUACCAGGUCUUGACAUCCUUUGACCACUCUAGAGAUAGAGCUUUCCCCUUCGGGGGACAAAGUGAC
rnacentral:rRNA from 1 species